AGAGUUUGAUCAUGGCUCAGGACGAACGCUGGCGGCGUGCCUAACACAUGCAAGUCGAACGGGGUAGAUUACUUCGGUUUUCUACUUAGUGGCGAACGGGUGAGUAACGCGUGAGAAACCUGCCUUUCAGUGGGGGACAACAGUUGGAAACGACUGCUAAUACCGCAUAAUGUUAUUUGAGGGCAUCCUUGAAUAACCAAAGCUUUAUGUGCUGAAAGAUGGUCUCGCGUCUGAUUAGCUAGAUGGCGGAGUAACGGCCCACCAUGGCGACGAUCAGUAGCCGGUCUGAGAGGAUGAACGGCCACAUUGGGACUGAGAUACGGCCCAGACUCCUACGGGAGGCAGCAGUGGGGAAUAUUGGGCAAUGGGGGAAACCCUGACCCAGCAACGCCGCGUGAGGGAAGAAGGCUUUCGGGUUGUAAACCUCUUUUACCAGGGACGAAGAACGUGACGGUACCUGGAGAAAAAGCAACGGCUAACUACGUGCCAGCAGCCGCGGUAAUACGUAGGUUGCAAGCGUUGUCCGGAUUUACUGGGUGUAAAGGGCGUGUAGGCGGAGAUGCAAGUUGGGAGUGAAAUCCCGGGGCUCAACCCCGGAACUGCUUUCAAAACUGUAUCCCUUGAGUGUCGGAGAGGCAAGCGGAAUUCCUAGUGUAGCGGUGAAAUGCGUAGAUAUUAGGAGGAACACCAGUGGCGAAGGCGGCUUGCUGGACGAUAACUGACGCUGAGGCGCGAAAGCGUGGGGAGCAAACAGGAUUAGAUACCCUGGUAGUCCACGCUGUAAACGAUGAAUACUAGGUGUGGGAGGACUGACCCCUUCCGUGCCGCAGUUAACACAAUAAGUAUUCCACCUGGGGAGUACGACCGCAAGGUUGAAACUCAAAGGAAUUGACGGGGGCCCGCACAAGCAGUGGAUUAUGUGGUUUAAUUCGACGCAACGCGAAGAACCUUACCAGGGUUUGACAUCCAACUAACGAAGUAGAGAUACAUUAGGUGCCCUUCGGGGAAAGUUGAGACAGGUGGUGCAUGGUUGUCGUCAGCUCGUGUCGUGAGAUGUUGGGUUAAGUCCCGCAACGAGCGCAACCCCUAUUGUUAGUUGCUACGCAAGAGCACUCUAGCGAGACUGCCGUUGACAAAACGGAGGAAGGCGGGGACGACGUCAAAUCAUCAUGCCCCUUAUAUCCUGUGCUACACACGUAAUA
rnacentral:rRNA from 1 species